rnacentral:rRNA from 1 species
UUCGGAUUGUAGUCUGCAACCCGACUACAUGAAGCUGGAAUCGCUAGUAAUCGCGAAUCAGAAUGUCGCGGUGAAUACGUUCCCGGGUCUUGUACACACCGCCCGUCACACCAUGGGAGUCGGAAAUGCCCGAAGUCAGUGACCUAACCGAAAGGGAGGAGCUGCCGAAGGUGGAGCCGGUAACUGGGGUGAAGUCGUAACAAGGUAAC